GGAUCUUAUGCAUUUGGCAUCAAGUUAUGCUUACUUCCAAUUCACCAGUUGUCGUAGAUCUUGUUAAUGGAAAAUUAGGGAAAGUUAUUGAUAUUGUUUCAAAAUGUGAUAUGAAACUAUAAGACCUUCCAUUCUUUGUGUUAUCAAAUUUGAAUAUUAUGUAGGUCCACCUUGGGAUCUAGAUGACCUACACCUUAGAUCGACGAAGAGCGUGACAGCUAGAGUGUGCACCAUUAAUGAAUUGUACACUCGGCUUUGCUGUUUUGCAUCAGAGUUGAAGUGGCCUGUGUUAUACAUUGCAUUUUUCCUCAUUCACCGUUUCAGAGGAGAUUGACGAGGCCGGUAGUGACAAGGAGAGCGAGCACUGCAGCAAAUACAAAAUGUGAGUGUUAUGGUGGUGCUGCUAAGUAUAUGAAUUCUGAAAGAGAAGGGCUGGCACAGCGCACCUGAGAGGCAGGUUACUUUACUUCAUGAAGAAACACUGUCUAGGUGAUAUAAUGGAUUGCGCACAUUUUUGAUUGAGUCUGACUUCGUGGUAUUUUACUGGUUCUUUUACCUUCUGAAGAAUAUUGUCCCAGGUGCUAUUAUUUUUUAAAGGAAAUUGGUCCAGCUGUUGCUCUGAACCAUUGGAUUGAAUUCCCCUGCUUUUCAUGAUGCUUGCAGCUGCAUUCUCCAUUUUACUAGAACUUUUGAUGAAAUGCAAGGCCUGAUCUUUGUGUUACUUCAUUUUAGAUUUAAGCUCUCUAUGACCGGUUUGGGGUAUGUGUGUACUAUCUUUUUACCCGAGCACUGGAUUAGAUGGAUUGAUAUGCCAUCCAAGUUAACUGGAUGGAUGUUAUGAUCUUAUAAACCUGAUAGGUUUGUAAUAAAAAGAAAUUUCCAAAA